AUAACAAUACAGGACUCUUUCCAGGCCCUGUAAUUGGAAUGAGUCCACUUUAAAUCCUUUAAUGAGGAUCUAGUGGAGGGCAAGUCUGGUGCAGAGCGAAUGACCGUGCGUGCUGCAGCUGAAACUCUGCUAUCGCCUGCUGCUGC